rnacentral:rRNA from 1 species
UCGAGAAUCUUCGGCAAUGGGCGCAAGCCUGACCGAGCGACGCCGCGUGCGGGAUGAAGGUCUUCGGAUUGUAAACCGCUGUCGGGAGGGAUGAAGUGCGUGGGGGUUCUCCCCUGCGUUUGACAGAGCUCCAGAGGAAGCACGGGCUAAGUUCGUGCCAGCAGCCGCGGUAAUACGAACUGUGCGAACGUUAUUCGGAAUCACUGGGCUUAAAGGGUGCGUAGGCGGUUUGUUAAGUCAGGUGUGAAAUCCCCCGGCUCAACCGGGGAACAGCGCUUGAAACUAGCAGACUGGAGUGAGGUAGGGGUGUGCGGAACUUCCAGUGGAGCGGUGAAAUGUGUAGAUAUUGGAAGGAACGCCGGCGGCGAAAGCGGCACACUGGGCCUUAUCUGACGCUGAGGCACGAAAGCCAGGGGAGUGAACGGGAUUAGACUACCCCGGUAAUCCGUGGACCGUAAACACUGAGCACGUGGGAGGGGGGCGGUUUCGGCCCUCCCCUCGUAGCGAAAGCGUUAAGUG